rnacentral:rRNA from 1 species
GACGAACGCUGGCGGCGUGCUUAACACAUGCAAGUCGAACGAAGUGGCGAACGGGUGAGUAACGCGUAAUCAACCUGCCCUUCAGAGGGGGACAACAGUUGGAAACGACUGCUAAUACCGCAUACUGAAGGAGGGGAUUGCGUCUGAUUAGCUAGUUGGAGGGGUAACGGCCCAACAAGGCGAUGAUCAGUAGCCGUUCUGAGAGGAUGAACGGCCACAUUGGGACUGAGACACGGCCCAGACUCCUACGGGAGGCAGCAGUGGGGAAUCUUCCGCAAUGGACGAAAGUCUGACGGAGCAACGCCGCGUGAGUGAAGAAGGUUUUCGGAUCGUAAAGCUCUGUUGUAAGAGAAGCGGUACCGGAAUAGAAAGCCACGGCUAACUACGUGCCAGCAGCCGCGGUAAUUC